ensembl:lncRNA
CAUGUGCAACCGUUGCUCCUCAUUGGAUCGGACAUGCCACAUCUACUUUCUCCCAUUGAGCCCAUUCGCCAAGGUCCAACCGGAGGGCCUAUAGCAGUCUGCACUCGAUUAGGCUGGUCACUCCAAGGUCCAAUGAUCCCCAUUCAGAGCCCAUGUAGUGGACAUCAGCAGUGCCUGCAUAUUACCACGGCCUCAGCUGAUGUUGAGCUACUCCAGCACGUACAACGCUUAUGGCAGAUGGAUACAGUGCCUUUCUGUGCGAAAGAAGUAACCCGAUCAAAGCUAGACCAGCAAGCUUACAACUUGUUGCAAACCACCACUACUCAAGUCAGUGUGGAUGGCAGACAGCGCUAUGCAACCCCGCUGCUUCGUCGCACUCCUAUCAGUAUCCUUCAUGCACCAGAAGAAGCUGUGUUACCGAGUCUCCGCCGAAUAGAACGCCAGCUCGAUCGGGAUCCACUUAAGGCCAAGGAUUACUGCUCUGAAAUUCUCAAGCUGGAGGAAGCAGGAUACGUAGCUAAAGUCUCACCAGAGGAAGCACGUAAGACUGCUGAAUCGUGGUACAUUCCCCACCAUAUGGUUCAACACAAUGGCAAGAACAGGAUAGUCUUCAACUGUUCCUUUCAGUACCAUGGCCAAUCACUUAAUGAACAAUUGCAGCCUGGUCCGUCCUUAGGGCCCUCCUUGCUUGGUGUCCUCAUGAGGUUUCGUCAGCAUACAGUUGCUGUCAGCGGCGACAUAAAGGGCAUGUUUCAUCAAGUGCGCUUGUUACCACAAGACCGACCAAUUCUGCGUUUUCUGUGGAGAAAUAUGCACAGGGACGAAGAGCCGACCAUCUAUGAAUGGCAGGUACUCCCGUUUGGGACAACAUGCAGUCCAUGCUGCGCAAUAUAUGCACUACAGCACCACGUUGAACAUCUGAAAUCCGACACUGCUGGCAUUGCUGAGGUAGUCACCCAGGCCUUCUAUGUCGACAACUGCCUUUACAGCACCCCAGAUCCAGAUGAAGCCAAGGUUGUGGUGGACAGCCUGAGACAGCUCCUGGCUGAGGGAGGAUUUGAAAUCAGACAGUGGGCGAGUAGUUUACCUUCAGUCAUCAAACAUCUCCCACCGGAGGCCAGGUCUCCUAGUAGCGAGUUAUGGCUGUCACGGAGCACCUCAGACAUCCAAGAGCCAACGCUUGGCUUGCAGUGGAACUGCAUCAGUGACACACUAAGCUUUAAGCAUCGCACCCCAGAGAAUCUUCAGCCUAUCAUGAGGAACCUGUAUAAGACCCUGGCCAGCCAGUAUGACCCGCUGGGUUUCAUCGUGCCAUUCACUACCAGGGCUAAGGUCCUUAUCCAAGACCUCUGGAAGCAAGAGCAGGGAUGGGAUGACCUGAUCAAGCCGCAGACUUUGCGAGACCAAUGGCUCACAUGGGUCAGUGAACUCAAGUACCUCACUCAGGUACAGUUUCCACGACCAUAUGCGCCAGCCUGUGCAGAUACCCACACAGCUGUGAGAGAACUCCAUAUCUUCUGUGACGCGUCGGAGAGAGCUUAUGGUUCAGUUGCCUAUCUACGCACCCUGGACGAUAACUCUAAUGUACACAUAGCCUUUAUCUUAGCCAGGUCUCGUGUUGCACCCAAGAAGUGUCUCUCCAUGCCCCGCCUGGAGCUGAGUGCAGCACUAACCGGAGCUCAGCUAGCUAAAGUGAUCCAGACCGAGCUGACAAUUCCUAUAAGACAGGUCGUCUGUUGGUCAGACUCCACUACUGUGCUGCAUUGGCUAGGUUCGGAGUCCUGCCGCUACAAGGUCUUUGUGGGGACGCGGGUAGCAGAAAUCCAGAGCCUAACCGACGUGGCGAGCUGGAGGUACGUGAAUUCAGCCCACAAUCCGGCAGACCACAUCACUAGGGGGUUACCAUUACAGGCGUUAGUGCAGCCUCAUCAGUGGAGAUCGGGUCCCAAAUUCUUACUGCAGUCACCUGCCCAGUGGCCUACUAUGCCCAGCACAUGUCCCGAACCAGACCUAGGUGAGCUUCGGAAAGGU